AUUAUGCAAAGCACUGAUAGACGUUCGCUACUGAACAGGCAAUUGAGUGGACAUCUAGUGGCUCUCUGGACAACCGGUCAUCCAAGAGCAAUGGCAUUACUUCCUGCUGGUUUGCUCUAUUA
rnacentral:lncRNA from 1 species